GCCCGGGUUACAUAGGAGGCAGAGGGGUAGUGGUGGUGGGGAAGGAGGGGUUAUGGCUAGUCCAGAUUUGCUAACUAUACCGGGUGUUGGGCCAAGGAACUUGAGGAAGUUGGUGCAGAAGGGUUUUAUGGGGGUUGAUCAACUCAAACAGCUCUACAGAGAUAAGUUUUUUGGAAAAUCCAACGAGAAGAUGGUUGAGUUCUUGCAAAGCUCAAUUGGAAUCAUUCACAGAAACCAUGCUGAGAGUAUCACCACAUAUAUCAGAAAGAGCGUGGAUGAAGAGUUGAAGGAG
rnacentral:misc_RNA from 1 species